rnacentral:rRNA from 1 species
UACAGAGGGGGCAAGCGUUAUUCGGAAUUAUUGGGCGUAAAGGGCGCGUAGGCGGCUUGGCAAGUGGAAGGUGAAAUCCCUCGGCUUAACCGAGGAACUGCCUUCCAGACUGCUUUGCUUGAGGCCGGGAGAGGCGAGUGGAAUUCCCAGUGUAGCGGUGAAAUGCGUAGAUAUCUGGAGGAACACCGGUGGCGAAGGCGGCAUCCUGGACCAAUUCUGACGCUGAGGAGCGAAAGCCAGGGGAGCAAACGGGG